AUCCUAGAGGGACAGGCACCUCUCAAAACCGAGAUGCUGAUCCAAAGAAGCUGCUUCACGCAGGUCUCUCCCAUACAAUCCUAAAGGUACGCCCUUUCCUGCAAAGCACGUGCCCCUGCUCGGCACCCUAAACACGGAUCCUGGACAGAUUCGCCCAGAGAGACGCGCUCAAUCCGUCUGAAGACUCGCUUAAGACGCCCUGGCGGGCUGAAGAACCGGUCCCUUAGCCAAGGGACUGUUUUUCUUUUUCUUCUUUCUUUCUCUUCUCUUCCCCUCCCCCCCCUCACCCUCUCUCUCUCUCUCUUUCUCCCCUCUUCUCUCUCUGUCUCUCUCCCUCUCCUUUCCUCUUUCACCAGCUACAGCAUCUAAGGGACUGUUUUCUUUCUUUCUUUCUUUCUUUUAAUCUCUUCUCUCUUUCACCAACUACAGCAUCUAGGGACUGUUUUUUUGUUUGUUUUUUGUUUUUUUGUUUUUUUGUUUUUUUUUUUUUUUGAGAUGACGUCUUUCUCUGUCUCCCAGGCUGGAGUACACAGGCACGAUCUCGGCUCACUGCAACCUCCACUUCCCGGGUUCAAGCCAUUCUCCUGCCUCAGCCUCCCCAGUAGCUGAGAUUACAGGGGCGCGUCACCACGCCCGGCUAAUUCUUGUAUUCUUAGUUGAGACGAGGGUUCACCAUGUUGGCCAGGCUGGUCUCGAACUCCUGACUUCAGGUGAUCCGCCCGCCUCGGCCUCCCAAAGUGCUGGGAUUACAGGCGUGAGCCACCGCAUACAGCCUAAGGGCCUGUUUUCUGACUGACAGACACAGACAACCUCACUGAGCACCGGACAACCAAGACAAACACACUAGGGUGCGUUCCAGACCCCAAAAACACACCCCUCUGGGGAGCGCAGCCUCGUUAUUGUUCGUGACCAAUUGGAGUCCCGCAGGCGCCGUUUCCCCGCCCCUUGGUUCUGUCGCGCCACUUCAUUGGCGGCUCAGGCAGCAGUAACGUAUCGCGCUUGCUCAGUAGCCAAUAAGAAGCAUGACGGCACCCUCGGCAACCUGGGACCUCCUAGACCGGCCGACCUAGCUAUGCCCCGCCCGAAGCAGCAUCCUCCUGAUCCUUCGGGUUCUUUCGGAAGCUGCCCUCCAGGGUGAAGUCGCGUUCGCUCUCCCAUCAACACAUUUAUUUUUCUGCCCGACUCUCGCGCGUGCGCACUGACACCCCCAGAACGGCCCUGAAAUGAAAACAUCUUGAGAGAGGGGGAGGGACCCCAAGCCGCUGUAGGCCAGGUCAGUGAGGCUACCCACACAGCCCGAGGUGGCUGCUGCCGGAAGCGGUCUCCAAAACAGGAAUUGUAGGACCAAAAAGUCUCGUGAGGUCCCACCGAGAUUUGAACUCGGAUCGCUGGAUUCAAAGUCCAGAGUGCUAACCAUUACACCAUGGGACCUGCUGGCUUCUUAAGGCGGCCGCGAGUCUCCUCAAGCUAGGAGGGCUCUGGGCGGCCUUUCCAGAGCGGCAGCGGUGUCCGUGUUUGAGGGACUGGGCCCUGGACCGGGGCCCCACGGGCGGCGUGGCGAGGGCUUCUGCGUCCUUCGUGUUCCCGGCGUUUCUGGUCCCGGGGAUAUCAUGUCUUCCCCAGCUCCAGGGCAGGAGGCGCGGCGCACGGAGCCUGGGUUGUUUAUUUAUUUAUUUACGUGGGGAGUGCCUUAGAAAAGGUAUUUUGGCCAAGCGGGAAGGGAAGCGGACUAGCAUGUGGGGAACAACGGUUCAAACCCCAGGCGCCCCAGGGACGCGCGUAACGGAGACUUUGAAAUUGCGCCCCCAGCCUGACUGCGUCGGUGCGAGUCCUACUGUUUCACGUGGCUGGAGCUCACGAGAAAACCGUUCUAAAGUUUCGCCUCCACAUGCGUGUGUGCCUAAUUAAAAACCACCAGGUGGGACUGCUGAGAUAACACUCAGAUACCCUUCCUUGCUGGGCGAUUAUCCUUAACUUUAGGAUUAAAUCAGAUCAGUGGAAAAGACACUCCCCUCUGGGCUCUCUCCCCCAUUUUAGUGAGCGUGUAUGUAAACGGAAGUUUCUGCAGGUCAAUCUGGCUACAUUAAAUUUUUACACGCCAUUUGACUCAGCAGUUUCAUCUUUGAGACUUUAACCUACGGAAACACCAAGGCAAGUGCCAAGACGUAUGUUCCAGGAUGUUCUCAGCUGUGUGGUUUAUAAUAGUAAAAAACAGAAAAUAAACGUCCAAGUGAAAAUUGGUAAUAACAAUAUCUACACAAUAAAUAUUGUGCAAGAAUUUAGGGAAUAACUUAUUGUAAUAAUAUAAAAAGCCAAAACAAAAAAGCCACUUGCCAAUUAUUAUGUAUGAUAAUAAUAAAAUCGACUUACCAAUUAGUAUGUAUACAUACCAAUUAGUAUGUAUAACAAUAUGAUAAUAGUAGGUAAAAUCUACUUACCAAUUUGUAUGUAUAAUAGUGUUGUACCAAUUAGUGUGUAUAAUAAUAUAUAUUAAUUAUAUAUAACAUUAAUUAUAUAUAAAUAAAAUACAUCAUUUAAUAAUAUAUACUAAUAAUAUCUAAUUCAUAUAUACUAUGUACUAACAAUAUAUAGUAAUAUGUAUAAUACCCCAUGACUUAUAAACAAACAGAAAAGUUCUACAUGUGUGUAAUGAACAUUUACCAUUUAUUUGACGUGUGACAUCUGACUUCCUUUCUUGAGGGCGCCAACACUGUGUGGAUCUGAGUGACAGCAGCUGUGCUCCAAGGUGGAUAUACUCACUCUCCAGCAGUCAGAAUGAGAUGUAGCUUGGCCAAUUAGACUUAAAAUCCAGAGACUGAUGCCCAGAAACGGGCAUUUUAGAACUCGUUCUGCUACUAGUGGUGGCUGUGACACCCAGUGUCCCAGGGGCAGUGGGGGCAGCCAGGCCAUGCCCACUGGCAGCAGAACUGGCAUCCUAACCACACGGCCCAGGAUCCUGACCUUGCCUGAGGUCCUGGCUGCCCAGUUCCCCUUUGGCUCUGCCCACCUUCCGAAGUUUGCUUUUCCAGCCUCUCUCUGGUGCUCUGAGCUAUCUCACAUCCCUCCAAUAAGUCUCUUUUCUUGCUUAAUGUACCCAGUCCUUUUCCGUUGCAUGCAGUCAAGAGCGUGGUAGCCCAAAUCUGAAAUGCUCUGUUGAUGAUUUAUCUCUGGGGAGUAAAUUUAUAAGGACUUUUCUGUUUUUCCAUAUGGCUUGACAAAAGAAUAACUCUUGUAUAUUGUCAGAAGAAACAGUAAAGAUUUUCCAUUUUGGGAAACAAGCCAAUCUCCCCUUAAGCUCCUAUGACUUAAGGGUGAGCUAUUAAAGCUGAAGUUGAAUGACUUCAGCAUCUUUGGACCUCAGCUUUCCUGUUUAUUUCUUCCUUACGCGGGUUCUGUGAGCACCAGUGAGAGUGCAUUGAAAUUAAUUUCUCAAAAGCUACUUUAGAAACCCUAAAGGGCCAUGAUGAUAUUCUUUGACAAUGCAUAGGAGAUAGUUCCUUCUGUCCAGUGUGAGGGUAAAGGUGACUCCACCUUCCUACUUCCACUUCUCCCUACUCCCAUUCUCUAGCUUUUUCUUUUCUUUUCUUUUCUUUCUUCUUUCUUUUUGGAGAUGGAGUCUGGCUUUUUUGCCCAGGCUAGAGUGUAGUGGCGUGAUCUCCGCUCACUGCAACCUCUUCCUCCCAGGUUCAAGCGAUUCUCCUGCCUCAGCCUCCCGAGUAAUUGGAACUACAGUGCACCACCAUCACGCCCAGCUAAUUUUUGUGUUUUUAGUAGAGACGGAGUUUCGCCAUGUUGGCCAGGCUGGUCUCAAACUCCUGGCCUCAAGUAAUCCACCUGCCUCUGCCUCUCAAAGUGCUGGGAUUACAGGCCUGAGCCACUGUGCCUGGCCACAUUUACUAAUUUUUUAAUGAUAAGAGAGAAAAGGGAGACAGGAUGUAAUCUUCCUUCCCCAGAAUAACUAGUUUCUAUUAACAUAAAGCCACAGUUCAUGACAUUGUAAAGAUGGCAACCCAUGGCAUCUUUGAGAACAGACCCAGCCUCCUCAAGUGGCUCCUGAAGCAUGGGAGAGUCCUAGGUUCUGCUAGAGGUGGGGUCAGUGUGGCUUCAGCCCUGGCACUGAGACUGAGGGCUGAAUCAGGCAGAGGGGGAGAACAGUGAGGCCAGGGGUUAGGAAGGACCUGAAGGAAGGCUGGGCACGGUGGCUCACACCUGUAAUCCCAGCACUUUGGGAGGUCCAGGUGAGUGGAUCACCUGAGGUCGGGAGUUCCAGACCAGCCUGACCAACAUGGAGAAACCCCGUCUCUACUAAAAAUACAAAAUUAGCCAGGUGUAUUGGCGCGUGCCUGUAAUCCCAGCUACUCAGGAGGCUGAGGAAGGAGAAUCGCUUGAAACCAGGAGGCGGAGGUUGUGGUGAGCUGAGAUUGUGCCACUGCACUCCAGCCUGGGCAACGAGAGCGAAACUCUGUCUCAAAAAAAAAACUUGAAGGCAAGGAUUAGGGACUUCAAGUUUUUUGUAAGCCUGUAAAUAUGUAGUGGAUGGAAUAACAGGUGCUUUGAGUAGUUAAAUGGAAAGUAUUCCUGUUCACUGUCAUAGCCAUAUUCAGUCCAUUUCCUUUGUCCAUUCUGAAGCUUCUCACAGUUAGCUGGGAUAGAAUCUGUCUUGCUCUGUGUCCUCAUCACCCAGCUUAGGUGAUACCUGCCACGAAUCCCCUACUUUACCUUGGGAUCCCCGGCUGAGCCAGACAAGCUGCCAGCACCUCCUUGUGCAGUGUGAGGAGGGAUGCCCUGAGUCUCUGGGCUUGCCCCUUCUGCCCCAAGCCCUAUUGCCCAGAAGGAUCUGGCAUUCCUGAACAAAAUACAAAAUGAGGCUGGGUGCGGUGGCUCAUGCCUGUAAUCCCAGCACUUUGGGAGGCCGAGGCUGGUGGAUCACCUGAGGUCAGGAGUUCCAGACCAGCCUGACCAACAUGGAGAAGCCCCUUCUCCACUAAAAAUAUAAAAUUAGCCGGGCAUGGUGGCGCAUGCCUGUAAUACCAGCUACUUGGAAGGCUGAGGGAGGAGAAUCGCUUGAACCCGGGAGGCAGAGGUUGCCAUGAGCCAAGAUUGUGCCAUUGCACUCCAGCCUGAGCAAAAAGAGCAAAACUCCGUCUAAAAAAUAAAUAAAUAAAACCCAACAAAUAUACAUGUAUAUGAAUAUGAAUAUUCCUUUUCUCUUUUCUUGUGUAGAGACAGAGUCUUGCUAUGUUGCCCAGGCUAGUCUCAAACUCCUGGGCUCAAGUGAUCCUCCUGCCUUGGCCUACCAAAGUGACAAGAUUACAGAUGUGAGCAACUGAACCCAGCACAUAUUCUUUUUCUUAGAAAAAAUCAAAACACUGUUCUGCACCUUGUUUUAUUAGCACCAUAUGUUGCAUAUGUUGAAGAUUGUUCAAUAACAGAAUAUAUAAAAUUUAUCUCAUUUUUUAAAAUAGAGACAGGAAUCUUGCUGUGUUGCCCAGGCUGGUCUUGCAUCCCUGGCCUUAAGUGAUCCUCCUGCCUUGGCUUCCCAAAUUGCUGGAUUACAGGAAUGAGCCACUGCCCCCAGCCUUAUCCCUUUAAAUGACAUGUAAUUGAAUUGUUAUUUAUAUAAUGGAAAAUGCACAAAUCGUAACUGGAGAAACCAAUACUUUUUUUUUACACAAAUGUAUACGCCUGUGUCACCAUCACCUAGAUCAAGAUAUAAAGCAUUUCCAUCACCCCAGAAAGUUCUCUGGUACUCUUUUCAAGCCAUUACCUCCUACCUCCCUGGAAUCACUGUACUGGUUUCUAUCACCAUAAAUUACUUUUGGCUGCUCUUAAAUUUUACAUAUAUGAAACUCACUUAUCUGUAGUGUAUUUUGUGUCUGGUUUCUUUUGCCAGACACAAAAUCAAUCAACAAAAUUAAAUCAAUAAUUUUGAAGGCCGGGCAGGGUGGCUCACGCCUGUAAUCCCAGCACUUUGGGAGGCCGAGGCAGGCAGAUCACAAGAUCAGGAGUUUGAGACCAGCCUAGCCAAUAUGGUGAAACCCAGUCUCUAGUAAAAAUGCAAAAAAAUUAGCUGGGCGUGGUGGUGCAUGCCUAUAAUCCCAGCUACUCGGGAGGCUGAGGCAGGAGAAUUGCUUGAACCUGGGAGGCAGAGGUUGCA
rnacentral:lncRNA from 1 species